AACGAACGCUGGCGGCAUGCCUAACACAUGCAAGUCGAACGAGACCUUCGGGUCUAGUGGCGCACGGGUGCGUAACGCGUGGGAACCUGCCCUUAGGUUCGGAAUAACUCCCCGAAAGGGGUGCUAAUACCGGAUAAUGUCUUCGGACCAAAGAUUUAUCGCCUUUGGAUGGGCCCGCGUUGGAUUAGCUAGUUGGUAGGGUAAAAGCCUACCAAGGCGACGAUCCAUAGCUGGUCUGAGAGGAUGAUCAGCCACACUGGGACUGAGACACGGCCCAGACUCCUACGGGAGGCAGCAGUGGGGAAUAUUGGACACUGGGCGAAAGCCUGAUCCAGCCAUGCCGCGUGAGUGAUGAAGGCCUUAGGGUUGUAAAGCUCUUUUACACGGGAUGAUAAUGACAGUACCGGGAGAAUAAGCUCCGGCUAACUCCGUG
rnacentral:rRNA from 1 species